UACAGAGGGGGCUAGCGUUAUUCGGAAUUAUUGGGCGUAAAGGGCGCGUAGGCGGCCUUGCGUGUCUUUCGUGAAAUCCCUCGGCUUAACUGAGGACGUGCGGAAGAAACUGCAGGGCUUGAGUCCGGGAGAGGGGGGUGGAAUUCCCAGUGUAGCGGUGAAAUGCGUAGAUAUUGGGAGGAACACCGGUGGCGAAGGCGGCCCCCUGGACCGGUACUGACGCUGAGGCGCGAAAGCGUGGGGAGCAAACGGG
rnacentral:rRNA from 1 species